ACACAGUAUAAAGGGAGUAAGUGAACUCGUGAAAGUGGACAUUAGGUGGCAGAGUCGUUGAUCAUGAAGAGUGGGUACUUUCAGUCGGGUGCAUUGCACUUCCAAGCUGAUCAAUUCCUCCGAGCCUGUUUCUUGACUGGUAGAUAAGGUAGAGCCCUUACGAAGAUGAGAUGAAACCACCUCUCUGAAGCACGUAGCAGCACGUCUAGCAUAGGAAGGGAUGUAUGGAGGUUUUUGAGUCAAGCGAUAAUGUGGGCUGCAGUAAGAUGCUUUUGCACUGGAGACAACAGCAGAAGAGCCGCGUGGAAACACUGACCUGGCAAUCGCAAGAAAUUAACCUUGAGGUGUACAUUUCAGGGGUCAUGCACUGAGUAGAGGCUUUCGGCAAAGAACCAUCUAUGGCUUGUAUGAUAAUACAAAUUGGAAAGUCACGAAAGAAAUACGUCUCCUGUCUCACUAACACGCGGGCGUGAAAAGCCAGUUUGAAAGGGGGAGUCACCACCAAAUCAGAGUGAUUUGCAGAGGAGUGGACCUGGAGCAUCUGGGCUUUAACCCGAUUGCCACCAGGUGACUUCUAAAUACCUAGCACUGAGGGAGAUGCCAUAGGAGUCCUGGAUCAAUCACUUGCAAGCUCUUCAAGAUGAACUACC